AGAAUCAACGCUGGCGGCGUGCCUAACACAUGCAAGUCGAACGAGAAAGUGGAGCAAUCCAUGAGUAAAGUGGCGCACGGGUGAGUAACACGUGACUAACCUACCCUUGAGUGGGGGAUAAACCUAGAGAAAUCUGGGCUAAUACCGCAUAAUACCUUCGGGUCAAAGGAGCAAUUCGCUUAAGGAGGGGGUCGCGGCCGAUUAGUUAGUUGGCGGGGUAAUGGCCCACCAAGACUAUGAUCGGUAUCCGGCCUGAGAGGGCGCACGGACACACUGGAACUGAAACACGGUCCAGACUCCUACGGGAGGCAGCAGUGGGGAAUUUUGCGCAAUGGGGGAAACCCUGACGCAGCAACGCCGCGUGGAGGAUGAAGUCCCUUGGGACGUAAACUCCUUUCGAUCGGGACGAUAAUGACGGUACCGAGAGAAGAAGCCCGGCUAACUUCGCGCCAGCAGCCGC
rnacentral:rRNA from 1 species